AACGAACGCUGGCGGCAUGCCUAACACAUGCAAGUCGAACGAGACCUUCGGGUCUAGUUGCGCACGGGUGCGUAACGCGUUGGAACCUGCCCUUAGGUUCGGAAUAACUCCCCGAAAGGGGUGCUAAUACCGGAUAAUGUCUUCGGACCAAAGAUUUAUCGCCUUUGGAUGGGCCCGCGUUGGAUUAGCUAGUUGGUAGGGUAAAAGCCUACCAAGGCGACGAUCAAUAGCUGGUCUGAGAGGAUGAUCAGCCACACUGGGACUGAGACACGGCCCAGACUCCUACGGGAGGCAGCAGUGGGGAAUAUUGGACAAUGGGCGAAAGCCUGAUCAAGCAAUGACGCGUGAGUGAUGAAGGCCUUAGGGUUGUAAAGCUCUUUUACCCGGGAUGAUAAUGACAGUACCGGGAGAAUAAGCACCGGCUAACUCCGUG
rnacentral:rRNA from 1 species